AGAACGAACGCUGGCGGCAUGCCUAAUACAUGCAAGUCGAGCGAACACUUCGGUGUUAGUGGCGCACGGGUGCGUAACGCGUGGGAAUCUGCCUUGGGUUCGGAAUAACAGUUGGAAACGACUGCUAAUACCGGAUGAUAUCGAAAGAUCAAAGAUUUAUCGCCCAGGGAUGAGCCCGCGUAGGAUUAGCUAGUUGGUGAGGUAAAGGCUCACCAAGGCGACGAUCCUUAGCUGGUCUGAGAGGAUGAUCAGCCACACUGGGACUGAGACACGGCCCAGACUCCUACGGGAGGCAGCAGUAGGGAAUAUGGACAAUGGGCGCGAAG
rnacentral:rRNA from 1 species